AUACGGAGGAUCCGAGCGUUAUCCGGAUUUAUUGGGUUUAAAGGGUGCGCAGGCGGGAGAUUAAGUCGGCGGAGAAAUUUUGCAGAUCAACUUGAAAAGUGGCUUCGGUACUGGUUUUCCUUUGUGUGGUUUAAGUAGGGGGAAUUUGUUGGGUAGCGGGGAAAUGCUUAGAUAUCACGAGGAACUCCGAUUGCGCAGGCAGCUUACUAAACCACUACUGACGCUCAGGCACGAAGGCGUGGGGAUCAAACAGGAUUAGAUACCCUGGUAGUCCACGCAGUAAACGAUGAUUACUGGCUGUUUGCGAUACAAUGUAAGCGGCUGAGCGAAAGCGUUAAGUAAUCCACCUGGGGAGUACGUUCGCAAGAAUGAAACUCAAAUGAAUCGACGGGG
rnacentral:rRNA from 1 species